ensembl:lncRNA
AUAUAAGCUGUUUUUAGACUAACAAGAAGGUUUUGGGAUCUGAAACUUACAGGAUGUUUUUAUAGUACAAUGACCUUUUAAAUUUCAAAAGAUUAAGGGAAUUUUGAUUUCUCAACACGAAAAUGUUCUUUUUUUAAAAGGAAAAUGUAACAAUAAUGUAAUGUAAAUGUAACAUGUAAUAGAAUUUAUGUUCUAAUGUUGUCACUUCCAUCUCUUUCCUCAGAGGGACGUCACAUUUCAAAGUUUGUGCUUAGUACCUCACUAAGACACGUUAACCCAUCGACAGCUGUGCGAAAUCAUCAUAAUUCGCACUGAAACGGCAGUUUUCUGAUGGGGGACAGUCCCACAGGAGGGUUAGAAAAGCGUUUAACGUCACAGAUGAUGCAAGUCUGAGAGUGCACCUUUUUAUGCCAGUGUUGCUUUGUGUUUCCCAGGCUCCUCUGGUCCUAAUCUCUCUUUUCGUUCCAUACAUGUGUCUCACAUUAGCGUACGAACCCUCAGAGCCCAGCUUAGGGUUUUUAAUAUACCUGCUGAAAGAUGUUACAUCCAGAAGAGAAACCUGAGAGAGAAAAUAAGGUUGUAAGAGUUAAACCACAGGGAGAAAGAAAAUGUCCUCUCUGACGCUCUGCCACAGCUGUUGCCUUUUAAAACACUCAUUGUGCAAGAGGAUAUACAACAAUUGAAACACAUCCAAUGAUAACAUGCUGGAAAAGUAGUUUAAUGCUGUGGGCACAUCUACUGUCAGGGGGAGAUUUAUCUGAAGGCCAAUGCUAAUAUGGCUGUGUUGCGUUAAGUAAUGCCCUGUUUAACUG